rnacentral:rRNA from 1 species
CCUACGGGUGGCUGCAGUGAGGAAUAUUGGUCAAUGGACGAGAGUCUGAACCAGCCAAGCAGCGUGAAGGAUGACUGCCCUAUGAGUUGUAAACUGCUUUUAUAUGGGAAUAAAAUGUCCCACGUGUGGGACUUUGUAUGUACUAUACGAAUAAGGAUCGGCUAACUCCGUGCCAGCAGCCGCGGUAAUACGGAGGAUCCGAGCGUUAUCCGGAUUUAUUGGGUUUAAAGGGUGCGUAGGUGGAUUGUUAAGUCAGUUGUGAAAGGUUGCAGCUCAACUGUAGAACUGCAGUUGAUACUGGCAGUCUUGAGUGUAGUAGAGGUAGGCGGAAUUCAUGGUGUAGCGGUGAAAUGCUUAGAUAUCACGCAGAACUCCGAUUGCGAAGGCAGCUUACUGAACUAUAACUGACGCUGAGGCACGAAAGUGUGGGUAGCAAACAGGAUUAGAUACCCUAGUAGUC